rnacentral:rRNA from 1 species
ACCCGCUGAACUUAAGCAUAUCAAUAAGCGGAGGAAAAGAAACCAACAGGGAUUGCCCUAGUAACGGCGAGUGAAGCGGCAACAGCUCAAAUUUGAAAUCUGGCGUCUUUGGCGUCCGAGUUGUAAUUUGCAGAGGGCGCUUUGGCAUUGGCAGCGGUCCAAGUUCCUUGGAACAGGACGUCACAGAGGGUGAGAAUCCCGUACGUGGUCGCUAGCCUUUACCGUGUAAAGCCCCUUCGACGAGUCGAGUUGUUUGGGAAUGCAGCUCUAAAUGGGAGGUAAAUUUCUUCUAAAGCUAAAUACUGGCCAGAGACCGAUAGCGCACAAGUAGAGUGAUCGAAAGAUGAAAAGCACUUUGGAAAGAGAGUUAAAAAGCACGUGAAAUUGUUGAAAGGGAAGCGCUUGCAGCCAGACUUGCCUGUAGUUGCUCAUCCGGGUUUCUACCCGGUGCACUCUUCUAUAGGCAGGCCAGCAUCAGUUUGGGCGGUUGGAUAAAGGUCUCUGUCAUGUACCUCUCUUCGGGGAGAACUUAUAGGGGAGACGACAUGCAACCAGCCUGGGCUGAGGUCCGCGCAUCUGCUAGGAUGCUGGCGUAAUGGCUGU